AAAGUUCAGUUUAGGGUUUAAAACCUUAAUGCUGACUGAAUGGAAAAGUUCAGUUUUGGGUUUAAAACCCUAAUGCUGACUAAAGGAAAGAGUUCAGUUUAGGGUUUUAAACCCUAAUGCUGAAUAAAUGGAGAAAGUUCAAUUUAGGGUUUAAAACCCUAAUGCUGACUAAAUGGAAAAAGUUCAGUUUAGGGUUUAAAACCCUAAUGUUGACGAAAGGAAAAGUUCAGUUUAGGGUUUAAAACCCUAAUGCUGACUGAAGGAAAAAGUUCAGUUUAGGGUUUAAGACCCUAAUGCUGACUAAAUGGAAAAAGUUCAGUUUAGAGUUUAAAACCCUAAUGCUGACUGAAGGAAAAAUUUCAGUUUAGGGUUUAAAACCCUAAUGCUGACUGAAGGAAAAAGUUCAGUUUAGGGUAUUAAAACCCUAAUGCUGACUGAAUGGAAAAAGUUUAGUUUAGGGUUUAAAACCCUAAUGCUGACUGAAUGGAAAAAGUUCAGUUUAGGGUUUUAAAACCCUAAUGCUGACUAAAGG
rnacentral:lncRNA from 1 species